rnacentral:lncRNA from 1 species
UCCCAAUGGAAGUUUUUUUCUUACCCAUUAUUUUUCUUAUCAUGACUAUUAAAGCCUGAUUAGCCACACGUUGCGUUUUUCCCAUACAACCGAAAUCUUCAAACCCAGUAACAUUAUCAUGAAUUGAAUUGUAAGUCAAAAAUGGUGUAAUUGAAAUUUCAUCAAUAAUUAUUGUAUAAUAUUGAAGACUUUUAAUCCGUUUAUUUCUUAAACAUCCUAAUGUUGCUUCUAACCUGGUGUCUGGCGCAGUUUGGCCCAUGAGGCCCUUGUGCCAUUAAACGUCAACCAACUAAACCAAACCUAAUGUUGCGAUAACAUUGUUGUUAAUGCCAGGUACUAUAUGCAAAGAAGAAAUGUAUUUCUGAAGUGUUCUUACUGUUGGCAAAUGGAAUAAUUUUUGUAGGGUAUUAUAACAACUUCUGGACUUGCAUAAGAGAUUAUAAGACAAAACUUUUUCUUCAACGGUUAUGCCACGCUUGCUCGAAUGUCGCUUGCCCGAUCCCCGGUUGCUGGAGUCUUGCUUGCCUGAUUCCCACUUGCCCGAGUCCCAUUUGCCUGAUGCCCAUUUGCUCGAUUCCCAGUUUCCCGAACCCGUUUGCCCGAUUCCCACUUGCUCAAGUGCUGUUGUCUGGUUCCCAAUUGCUCAGGUCUCAUUUUCCCUAGUUCCUGUCUGCCCGAAGCUGUCUUUUCCUUGAGUCCCAUUUGCCCGAGUGUUGGG